ACGGGAGGCAGCAGUGGGGAAUAUUGCGCAAUGGGGGAAACCCUGAUGCAGCGACGCCGCGUGAAGGAAGAAGUAUCUCGGUAUGUAAACUUCUAUCAGCAGGGAAGAAAAUGACGGUACCUGACUAAGAAGCCCCGGCUAACUACGUGCCAGCAGCCGCGGUAAUACGUAGGGGGCAAGCGUUAUCCGGAUUUACUGGGUGUAAAGGGAGCGUAGACGGUCUGGCAAGUCUGAUGUGAAAGGCAGGGGCUCAACUCCUGGACUGCAUUGGAAACUGUCAGUCUUGAGUGUCGGAGAGGUAAGCGGAAUUCCUAGUGUAGCGGUGAAAUGCGUAGAUAUUAGGAGGAACACCAGUGGCGAAGGCGGCUUACUGGACGAUAACUGACGCUGAGGCGCGAAAGCGUGGGGAGCAAACAGGAUUAGAUACCCUGGUA
rnacentral:rRNA from 1 species